GAUGGACGCUGGCGGCGUGCCUAAUACAUGCAAGUCGAGCGAACGGACGAGAAGCUUGCUUCUCUGAUGUUAGCGGCGGACGGGUGAGUAACACGUGGAUAACCUACCUAUAAGACUGGGGUAACUUCGGGAAACCGUAGCUAAUACCGGAUAAUAUUUUGAACCGCAUGGUUCAAAAGUGAAAGACGGUCUUGCUGUCACUUAUAGAUGGAUCCGCGCUGCAUUAGCCAGUUGGUAAGGUAACGGCUUACCAAGGCAACGAUGCAUAGCCGACCUGAGAGGGUGAUCGGCCACACUGGAACUGAGACACGGUCCAGACUCCUACGGGAGGCAGCAGUAGGGAAUCUUCCGCAAUGGGCGAAAGCCUGACGGAGCAACGCCGCGUGAGUGAUGAAGGUCUUCGGAUCGUAAAACUCUGUUAUUAGGGAGGAACAUAUGUGUAAGUAACUGUGCACAUCUUGACGGUACCUAAUCAGAAAGCCACGGCUAACUACGUG
rnacentral:rRNA from 1 species